rnacentral:rRNA from 1 species
GGGGGGGGGGGGGGGGGGGGGCGGGCGGGGGGGGCGGGGGGGGCCGGCGUUGGUGGGGGGCGCGGGUGGCGAACGGGGGAGGAACACGUGAGUAACCUGCCCUUGACUUUGGGCUAACUUCCGGCAACUGGGGCUAAUACCGGAUCGGAGCUCCUGCUGCAUGGUGGGGGUUGGAAAGGUUCGGCGGUUGGGGAUGGCCUCGCGGCUUAUCAGCUGGUUGGUGGGGUAGUGGCUUCCAAAGGCUUUGACGGGUAGCCGGCCUGUGAGGGUGACCGGCCACAUUGGGACUGAGAUACGGCCCAGACUCCUACGGGAGGCAGCAGUGGGGAAUAUUGCACAAUGGGCGGAAGCCUGAUGCAGCAACGCCGCGUGCGGGAUGACGGCCUUCGGGUUGUAAACCGCUUUCGCCUGUGACGAAGCGUGAGUGACGGUAAUGGGUAAAGAAGCACCGGCUAACUACGUG